rnacentral:misc_RNA from 1 species
CUUUCACCAUCAGGUCUAGAUACAUGCCUCAAGUAAAGUGAUGUCAGUAUCGGAGGCUUGUGAGAGUAUAUUGGAGGGUUUGGAGGCGGGUAGAAUAGAUAUUAUUAAAUCUAUAAUUGAUCACGUGACGAAUAAUAAGGGCACCGAUUUCCUUCUGGAAGUUCUAUCCAAUGAUUGUUGUCAGGAAGGCACUAUUUUACACAAAGCUGUCAGAAUUGGAAGUUCAGAUGCUGUGAGGGCUUUACUUAUGGCAGGUUCUGAUCCUGGUAUAUUGAACAGUAAUGGGGUUUCUGUCCUAGAUUCUAUAGAUGAUACCUCCUUCCCCUCCCUUCUCCAGGUUUUUACUGAAGAUUUGUUUCGGAAUAUUGCUGGGUCAGCUACAGACAGAAUAAUUAUCCUGCUAAACUCUGGCAUCUCACUUGAUGUUGUAGACUCAGACAAAACAAAAAAUUCUUGCUUACACUGGGCAGCCAGCUUUGGAUCUCCAGAUACAAUUAGCCUUCUUCUAGCCAGGGGUGCUCAGGUUAAUGCUUUAAAUAGCGAGGGAGCCACACCUUUACAUGACGCUGUUCUUCGAGCAGAUCCUAGGGUUGUUCAGUUACUUCUAGAUUCAGGAAGUGAUGUGAACUCUGUUAUUUUAAGUGGAAAAUAUGCUGAGAAAUCUGCCCUGGAUCUGGCGGAGGGAAAGGAAGAAAUUUCAACAAUGUUACGAGAUCAAAGUCUAAAAAAAGAAACCAAUGUAACCGAGGAACCUGGGGGAAAUGUUGAAAAAUUAGAUGAAGACAAGAACAUAGAUACAAAGAAAGAAAAAGCUGGACUUGAAGAAAUUUCUACAAUUACUUCUCAAGAAUUAAAAAGCAAGUCAUUAAAGUUGGCUCUGGAUAGACGGUUUGGUUUAUUGUGGCCCACCCCUCAGGUCGUUGAGCAGCUGGCAGGAGCAGAUGUUGAAAUACCGAAGCAUUUAUAUCUAGUAGUUGAAUCCCAGUCAAAUAACAGGAUAUCUGCCCAUCAACUGCUAGAUGUCUGGGAUCUGUUCAGAGAAGAUCUGGAGGGGCUAGGGUACUCGGCCAGUGUCAAGAGAUUUGACCUUUCUGGGCAGAGCAGUGCAGGGCCUGGCGAAAUACAGUUGGCGGUCAACUCUAGCCUGGGAGAACAGGAUUUUACUUUAGUUCUGACUGAAAAGAAAAUUAAAAUGAUAGGAGGUGGAGUAACUGGUGUUCAAUAUGCAGUUUCAACAUUUUUACAAAUUCUUCAGUUGUUCAGGAAUGUUGGUAUCCCUCCUGUAAGUAUAAAAGAUCGACCUAUGUUGACCCAUCGAGCUGCCCUGCUUGAUCUAGCACCUUACGGUCGUCUUCCAACAGUAUCUACUCUUCUUAAUCUAGUCAGAAUAUUGUCCAACAUGAAGUUAAACAAAAUCUAUCUUUACUCAAGGCUUUCUUCAACUCCGGACUGGCAGCUGAACUAUUCUCCUGGAGAUCUUAUAUCCAUUGAUCGUGAGUGUUCUGACCGUCAGAUGGAGUUGAUUCCUGCGCUUGAUAUUGUACAACCAUGUGCAUUCAUUGAACUUCCCAAAUAUACUCAAGUAUUCUCAAGAGUUGUAUCCUGCUUUAGCUCCCUAAACUUAGUUAGCCUGGGACCCUGUCUAUCUUCAGUUAUAUUCUCUGCUGCAAGGAUUAUUGGUUGUAACCAGGUGUUUGGUCAGAUCUGGAACAUUCUCUCCGUACCCUCCAACACACAGCUCAUCCUCUGUUCCAACUCCGUCCUUAACCUGGAAAACAUGGUAGAGGACUUUCCGUCCUCAGUCUCCCUCAUCGAUUAUGGGUUUCAGGCGAAUUAUCCUUUUGAGUCUAAUUUGCACCAUCUUAGUAGAUCAGGAAAUCCAGUACUCUGUUGUCCUGGAACUUCAGCAUGGAAUUGUCUCAUCGGUAGACCUCAGAACAUGAUUCAUAAUAUAGCUCAGGCAGCUAAAGCUAUUGCUGAGUAUGGAGGGGAGGGAUUAGUGAUUGCUAACUGGACCGGAAGUCCUGCGCUGACCCAUCUAUCCACAGCUUUGCCUGGCUGGGUUCUAGGAGCAGGGUUAGCGUGGAACACCAAGGCUGCGGACACCAUAAAUUUAGGAGUAUUGGGAGAAAUUCUCAGCCAUCACAUAUUUCAGGAUAGUACUGGUGGUAGUGGAUCUGCUGUAGUUGAACUAGGUCUAGCUGAGUGUUCUUUAGACCAGGUUUAUCCUGAUCAACAACUACAAACUUCUCUUCUUCUCUCAUCCAUCCUUAGACCGGGGAACCUUCAUUUAGAGAAGGUGUCGUUGGAGCAGCUUGGAGCUGUUAUUCAAACUAGCAGACGAUGUUUGAGUAAACUGCAAGGAUGCCGGGAGGUUGUAGAAGGAGAAGGAGAGGUUGAAGGUCUUCUUCAGGAGGUUACUCUAGGAGCUGAACUCCUACUCCUGGCGGCCAGGUUGUCCAGGGGGCUCCUGCAGGCAGGAGAAUACAAGAUAGAGCUCCUUCAACCAACCUUCAAGACAGAUAUAGCAAACAAGUUGCUUGCACUAAUAGAACAGUAUAGAGCAGUGUGGUUAAGUAGAUAUCUACCAGGUGGACUCCAGGAUACAAUGCUACAUCUGAGUAACCUGCUGACCCUCCUUCUACCUGAAUCCUCUCAGGGAUUAUAUAAUGGCCGGGGUCUAAAAUCUUAAAUCUAAAAUCUACAAUCUAGAUAGAAAACUUCAAACUUUGAUAAUUUUAUAUAUUUUCAUAAAAAUUACUUCCUCCGCUCUAAGAUAUUCCACUACUAGCUUGGGAACCCAGCUUUGCCUGGACUUUUCCCAAUUUAAAAUUGCUAAUCCAAACUAGAAACAUUUCCGUGGUUGUCCUUACAAUAUGACGCAAGUCGGUCCAGGGAUGCAUGAGUUAUGAUCGGACAGACAAAAAGACAAAUAAACAGAAAUUACUUCUUAAUGUAAAGAUCAAUUUCUUGUUGAUUUAAUUGCUGUUAAAUGCUGUAAAAAUUAAGAUGUCAUGCAACCCGACCUACUGGAAACAAACCCACGGGUUUGCUAAUGUUAAUCUUAAUAUCAAGUUAGUUACUAUUGGCAUAUUAAAUACGGAUUUGAAUGAUUAUAAUGUUGCCAAACUCCUCCCAACUUUACCUACAUUCUACAACCAGUCAUCUUUAUAAAUCAUUAUUUCUUGCACGUUGUUUUUCCAUUUCAAUCAGUAAAAUUGAAAUCCAAAUAUUGGUUUCAAAAUAUCAAAUAUUUUAAAAUUUUUGUUAUUGUACUUGACUCUGAAUGCAGACUUUAUACUAUUUUACUCAUUGUAACCCUGUAGGUUACUCUGGAUAGACAUCUUCCAUGGGUUGAAAUCUGUAUUCACUAUUCAUAGAUAAAUAGAAAGGACUCUUAACACCUUUUGUUUUAUCUGUGUAAUCUGUAAUCCACCCUUAUCUAUACAUUCCGGUCACAAAUACACACACUCCUGUUACACUCUGUGAUACAUUUUUCUUUGGUAGAAUUUAGAUAAUUCCAGUCCACUCCGUCCUAAAUUGUUUAUGUAUUAUUACAACUGUAAUUCAAGUUUUAGAUAGUUUUGAGUUUAAUUUGUUUAAUGUAGCAUGAUAUGUGGAAUUAAGUAGAUACUUCGUUUUUUGGCAUUUAUGAUUAACUCUUACAAUAUUAUUUUUUACUUACGACCAUAUGGUCAAAACAUUUAGAAUUCCUUUCCGACCAGGGGAAUGAUUUUCGAAAUUUGUUGGGG